UGGGGAAUAUUGCACAAUGGGCGCAAGCCUGAUGCAGCCAUGCCGCGUGUGUGAAGAAGGCCUUCGGGUUGUAAAGCACUUUCAGCGAGGAGGAAGGUGGUGAGCUUAAUACGCUCAUCAAUUGACGUUACUCGCAGAAGAAGCACCGGCUAACUCCGUGCCAGCAGCCGCGGUAAUACGGAGGGUGCAAGCGUUAAUCGGAAUUACUGGGCGUAAAAGCGCACGCAGGCGGUUUGUUAAGUCAGAUGUGAAAUCCCCGGGCUCAACCUGGGAACUGCAUUUGAAACUGGCAAGCUAGAGUCUCGUAGAGGGGGGUAGAAUUCCAGGUGUAGCGGUGAAAUGCGUAGAGAUCUGGAGGAAUACCGGUGGCGAAGGCGGCCCCCCUGGACGAAGACUGACGCUCA
rnacentral:rRNA from 1 species